rnacentral:rRNA from 1 species
GACGAACGCUGGCGGCGUGCUUAACACAUGCAAGUCGAACAGUGGCGAACGGGUGAGUAACACGUGAGUAACCUGCCCUCCACUUUGGGAUAACUCCGAGAAAUCGGGGCUAAUACUGGAUAGUGGGGGAUGGGCGCGCGGCCUAUCAGUUUGUUGGUGGGGUAGUGGUCACCAAGGGGUGACGGGUACCCGGCCUGAGAGGGCGAACGGCCACAAUGGGACUGCGACACGGACCAGACUCCUACGUGGGGCAGCAGUGGGGAAUAUUGCACAAUUGGCGAAAGCCUGUUGCAGCGACGCCGGGUGGGGGAAGACGGCCUUGGGGUUGUAAACCUCUUUCUGCAAGGAAGCGGUACUUGCAGAAGAAGCGCCGGCUAACUACGUGCCAGCAGCCGCGGUAAUUC